GAGAAGAGCGGCGGACGGGUGAGUAACGCGUGGGUAACCUGCCCUGUACACACGGAUAACAUACCGAAAGGUAUGCUAAUACGGGAUAACAUAAGAAAUUCGCAUGUUUUUCUUAUCAAAGCUCCGGCGGUACAGGAUGGACCCGCGUCUGAUUAGCUAGUUGGUGAGGUAACGGCUCACCAAGGCGACGAUCAGUAGCCGACCUGAGAGGGUGAUCGGCCACAUUGGAACUGAGACACGGUCCAAACUCC
rnacentral:rRNA from 1 species